rnacentral:lncRNA from 1 species
AACAAAAGCAGCUCUCACUAGAGAACCCUGGAGGCUGCUCAGGAAUCCGGGCCUUGCCGUGUGCUGGCCCUGAGGCGGCAGGAGACGGCCGGAGUCUGCCCCGCGGGCACCGCUGAGCGUAAAUCCUGUCAUCACAGGCGGGACCGGCGGCUGGGCCCACAGACGAGCGGGGCACGCCCGGCCGCGGUCGGACAGCCGCCUCCGGGGCAGGUCCUACGGCAGCGCGCCCCCCGACUGGAAACAGCACGGCUAUGUCUCAGGAUCGGCUCCGGAGCCGCCGACGGAUCCCGAGGUGCUUGUGAAACCCCUGAACAUGAGGGCCGGCACUGCGUUCCACGGACAGGAGUCAGAGGGGGAGGACAGAGACGCGAGCGUCCCUGGGCUCACGUUUCCGGAGCUGGUGAGUGCACAUGGAGUCGGUGCUUCCUGAAUCAAUGGAUGAACCAUGUCAGAGUAUCGGUUGCCUUUAAAUAGCUGGCAGUGUGGUGGCUCAGUUGGUAAAGAAUCUUCCUGCAAUGCAGGAAGACCUGAGUUCCAUCCCUGGAUCGGGAAGAUCCCCUGGAGAAUAGAAUGGCUGCCCACUGCAUUAUUAUUGCCUGGAGAAUCCCAUGGACAGAGGAGCCUGGUGGGCUACAGUCCAUAGGGUUGCAAGGAGUCAGACACGACCGAGUGGCUUUCACUACACUACUAUAUAUAGUGAAAGUUGGAUGGCAUCACUGACUCAAUGCACCCGAGUUUGAGCAAACUCUGGGAGAUGGUAAGGUCAGGGAAGCCUGGUGCGCUGCAGUCCACGGGGUUGCAAAGAGUCAGACAUGACUGAUGGACUGAACACCACCACCACAUGUGCACACACACACACACACACACACACACAUGCGUGUGCGCGCGCGCGUAUUUGUGCUCUGCAGGCAGUAGCGAACAGGAAAUCCAUAACUUGGCUUUCCCCGCUGGGUAGCAGAGGCUUUGCAUCUGAGGCGCACCACGGAGAGAUGUGUUAGUUGUCACGCCUCAAAAUGCAGUGGCGUGCGUUAUCCCUGUAAGACACGGAUUCCGGGAGGAGAGGAGAAACGUACCCUCCCCCGUGCCUUCUCCAGCCGAGGACUGAACCAGCUCUCGAGGAAAGCCUUUCUCGAGGAAAGCCGUGGGGACCAUCCCCGCUGCUCACUCUUCGGAAACCCCAGGCUGCUUAUCGCGGCGUCUUGAAAUAAUACACACGGAAGUGUCUCCACUCCAGAAUAAUGGGAUUUUGAAAGAGAACAUCCUCUCCACUUAGCUGAAUUUGGAUGUAAUGUGAUUUGUGAUCACCAAAGAAGAAAACAGGACCAGGGUAGCUAACUGUACUACGAGUGUGGAGAAAAGGUUUAAGUAGAAGUAUUUACAAUAGUUUUUUUCUGUGCAUUGAAAUGUCAGGAGGGGAAGAAAGCUACGUGGGCCGACAGCUGGUCCAAGUUAAAUCAAUGCUGACUUGGAAUAU